rnacentral:rRNA from 1 species
GCUCCUACGGGGCGCAGCAGUGGGGAAUAUUGGACAAUGGGGGGAACCCUGAUCCAGCGACGCCGCGUGAGUGAAGAAGUAUUUCGGUAUGUAAAGCUCUAUCAGCAGGGAAGAAAGAAAUGACGGUACCUGAAUAAGAAGCCCCGGCUAACUACGUGCCAGCAGCCGCGGUAAUACGUAGGGGGCAAGCGUUAUCCGGAUUUACUGGGUGUAAAGGGAGCGUAGACGGCGGUGCAAGUCAGGAGUGAAAGCCCGGGGCCCAACCCCGGGACUGCUCUUGGAACUGCGUGGCUGGAGUGCAGGAG